rnacentral:rRNA from 1 species
UAGACUUUGAUCCUGGCUCAGAUUGAACGCUGGCGGCAGGCCUAACACAUGCAAGUCGAGCGGCAGCGGGAAAGUAGCUUGCUACUUUUGCCGGCGAGCGGCGGACGGGUGAGUAAUGCCUGGGGAUCUGCCCAGUCGAGGGGGAUAACUACUGGAAACGGUAGCUAAUACCGCAUACGCCCUACGGGGGAAAGCAGGGGACCUUCGGGCCUUGCGCGAUUGGAUGAACCCAGGUGGGAUUAGCUAGUUGGUGAGGUAAUGGCUCACCAAGGCGACGAUCCCUAGCUGGUCUGAGAGGAUGAUCAACCACACUGGAACCGGAGACACGGUCCAGACUCCUACGGGAGGCAGCAUUGGGGAAUAUUGCACAAUGGGGGAAACCCUGAUGCAGCCAUGCCGCGUGUGUGAAGAAGGCCUUCGGGUUGUAAAGCACUUUCAGCGAGGAGGAAAGGUUGGUAGCUAAUAACUUCCAGCUGUGACGUUACUCGCAGAAGAAGCACCGGCUAACUCCGUGCCAGCAGCCGCGGUAAUACGGAGGGUGCAAGCGUUAAUCGGAAUUACUGGGCGUAAAGCGCACGCAGGCGGUUGGAUAAGUUAGAUGUGAAAGCCCCGGGCUCAACCUGGGAAUUGCAUUUAAAACUGUCCGGCUAGAGUCUUGUAGAGGGGGGUAGAAUUCCAGGUGUAGCGGUGAAAUGCGUAGAGAUCUGGAGGAAUACCGGUGGCGAAGGCGGCCCCCUGGACAAAGACUGACGCUCAGGUGCGACAGCGUGGGGAGCAAACAGG